rnacentral:rRNA from 1 species
ACUAAGCGUACACGGUGGAUGCCCUGGCAGUCAGAGGCGAUGAAGGACGUGCUAAUCUGCGAAAAGCGUCGGUAAGGUGAUAUGAACCGUUACAGCCGGCGAUGUCCGAAUGGGGAAACCCAGUGCAAUUCGUUGCACUAUCGUUAACUGAAUACAUAGGUUAACGAGGCGAACCGGGGGAACUGAAACAUCUAAGUACCCCGAGGAAAAGAAAUCAACCGAGAUUCCCCCAGUAGCGGCGAGCGAACGGGGAGCAGCCCGGAGUCUGAAUCAGCUUGUGUGUUAGUGGAAGCGUCUGGAAAGUCGCAGGGUACAGGGUGAUACUCCCGUACACUAAAACACACAGGCUGUGAACUCGAAGAGUAGGGCGGGACACGUGGUAUCCUGUCUGAAUAUGGGGGGACCAUCCUCCAAGGCUAAAUACUCCUGACUGACCGAUAGUGAACCAGUACCGUGAGGGAAAGGCGAAAAGAACCCCGGCGAGGGGAGUGAAAAAGAACCUGAAACCGUGUACGUACAAGCAGUAGGAGCCCACGAGUUGGGUGACUGCGUACCUUUUGUAUAAUGGGUCAGCGACUUAUAUUCUGUAGCAAGGUUAACCGUAUAGGGGAGCCGCAGGGAAACCGAGUCUUAACUGGGCGUUAAGUUGCAGGGUAUAGACCCGAAACCCGGUGAUCUAGCCAUGGGCAGGUUGAAGGUUGGGUAACACUAACUGGAGGACCGAACCGACUAAUGUUGAAAAAUUAGCGGAUGACUUGUGGCUGGGGGUGAAAGGCCAAUCAAACCGGGAGAUAGCUGGUUCUCCCCGAAAGCUAUUUAGGUAGCGCCUCGUGAAUUCAUCUUCGGGGGUAGAGCACUGUUUCGGCUAGGGGGUCAUCCCGACUUACCAACCCGAUGCAAACUACGAAUACCGAAGAAUGUUAUCACGGGAGACACACGGCGGGUGCUAACGUCCGUCGUGAAGAGGGAAACAACCCAGACCGCCAGCUAAGGUCCCAAAGUCAUGGUUAAGUGGGAAACGAUGUGGGAAGGCCCAGACAGCCAGGAUGUUGGCUUAGAAGCAGCCAUCAUUUAAAGAAAGCGUAAUAGCUCACUGGUCGAGUCGGCCUGCGCGGAAGAUGUAACGGGGCUAAACCAUGCACCGAAGCUGCGGCAGCGACACUAUGUGUUGUUGGGUAGGGGAGCGUUCUGUAAGCCGUUGAAGGUGGCCUGUGAGGGUUGCUGGAGGUAUCAGAAGUGCGAAUGCUGACAUAAGUAACGAUAAUGCGGGUGAAAAACCCGCACGCCGGAAGACCAAGGGUUCCUGUCCAACGUUAAUCGGGGCAGGGUGAGUCGACCCCUAAGGCGAGGCCGAAAGGCGUAGUCGAUGGGAAACAGGUUAAUAUUCCUGUACUUGGUGUUACUGCGAAGGGGGGACGGAGAAGGCUAUGUUGGCCGGGCGACGGUUGUCCCGGUUUAAGCAUGUAGGCGGAUGUUCCAGGUAAAUCCGGAACGUUAUUAACGCUGAGGUGUGAUGACGAGGCACUACGGUGCUGAAGUGACAAAUGCCCUGCUUCCAGGAAAAGCCUCUAAGCAUCAGGUAACAUCAAAUCGUACCCCAAACCGACACAGGUGGUCAGGUAGAGAAUACCAAGGCGCUUGAGAGAACUCGGGUGAAGGAACUAGGCAAAAUGGUGCCGUAACUUCGGGAGAAGGCACGCUGAUGGUAGGUGAAGUGACUUGCUCAUGGAGCUGAAAUCAGUCGAAGAUACCAGCUGGCUGCAACUGUUUAUUAAAAACACAGCACUGUGCAAACACGAAAGUGGACGUAUACGGUGUGACGCCUGCCCGGUGCCGGAAGGUUAAUUGAUGGGGUUAUCCUCACGGAGAAGCUCUUGAUCGAAGCCCCGGUAAACGGCGGCCGUAACUAUAACGGUCCUAAGGUAGCGAAAUUCCUUGUCGGGUAAGUUCCGACCUGCACGAAUGGCGUAAUGAUGGCCAGGCUGUCUCCACCCGAGACUCAGUGAAAUUGAACUCGCUGUGAAGAUGCAGUGUACCCGCGGCAAGACGGAAAGACCCCGUGAACCUUUACUAUAGCUUGACACUGAACACUGGUCCUUGAUGUGUAGGAUAGGUGGGAGGCUUUGAAGUGUGGACGCCAGUCUGCAUGGAGCCGUCCUUGAAAUACCACCCUUUAAUGGCUGGUGUUCUAACGUGGGCCCCUAAUCGGGGUUGCGGACAGUGUCUGGUGGGUAGUUUGACUGGGGCGGUCUCCUCCUAAAGAGUAACGGAGGAGCACGAAGGUCAGCUAAUCCUGGUCGGACAUCAGGAGGUUAGUGCAAUGGCAUAAGCUGGCUUGACUGCGAGCGUGACGGCGCGAGCAGGUGCGAAAGCAGGUCAUAGUGAUCCGGUGGUUCUGAAUGGAAGGGCCAUCGCUCAACGGAUAAAAGGUACUCCGGGGAUAACAGGCUGAUACCGCCCAAGAGUUCAUAUCGACGGCGGUGUUUGGCACCUCGAUGUCGGCUCAUCACAUCCUGGGGCUGAAGUAGGUCCCAAGGGUAUGGCUGUUCGCCAUUUAAAGUGGUACGCGAGCUGGGUUUAGAACGUCGUGAGACAGUUCGGUCCCUAUCUGCCGUGGGCGCUGGAGAAUUGAGGGGGGCUGCUCCUAGUACGAGAGGACCGGAGUGGACGCAUCACUGGUGUUCGGGUUGUCAUGCCAAUGGCAUUGCCCGGUAGCUAAAUGCGGAAGAGAUAAGUGCUGAAAGCAUCUAAGCACGAAACUUGCCCCGAGAUGAGUUCUCCCUGACUCCUUGAGAGUCCUGAAGGAACGUUGAAGACGACGACGUUGAUAGGCCGGGUGUGUAAGCGCAGCGAUGCGUUGAGCUAACCGGUACUAAUGAACCGUGAGGCUUAACC